rnacentral:lncRNA from 1 species
CUCAUGUUUUCCCCACUCCCUCAUUUCUCCUCUCAUACUCUCAGCAAAACAAUACUUCACUCUCUAUAAAAGAAAUCUCACACACAAAAAAACCCUUCCUCUCUAAUCAUCUUCUCCGCCGCCACCCAUUCAAUCGUGACCCACCUUCAUCUCCUCCACAAAUCACCGUCAUCACGCUCACCACCACCAAACCCCAAAUCGCUUCACCUUCAAAAACCCUCAACCCUCUUCUCCUUCGUCAUCAACCGCUUCAAACCCUAUCCACCACUCUAACCAUCAAACCCUCACCGUGAAUCGCCAUCACUAACCGUGAAGCUCGCCGCCGCUCAAACCUCCGCUUCUUCACCACCAACAAACCCUCGCGAAUCCACCAUCUCCAACUCACCAUCGAAACCCAUUCACCUCACAACCCCAAAAUCGUCCACGGUUCUCCACCAGGAACAACUCCACGAACAACCACCUCCGUAAAAAACGCGACACACCACCAACACCUCAAAACCCUCGCUCCAUCCGCUACUGCAACUCUUUUACUCCACCGACAAAACGCACACAACCGUCAUUCAUUCUUGCUCAAGUAUGGAGGCCACUCACGAUCGAUUCACUAAAGCAGAGAGGCCAUUCUUUAUCGAUCCAAAAUUCUACUCAGUGAGGUUAGAUUCAUGGUUUUUGAUUCCCAGCUCCGGACUGUGACCUAGCAUUCAAACGGCACCAAGCGAGUAACUUCGAUCAACCCUUUCAUCGACUCAACUUCUAUCCAGGGCUUCAACAUUGGUUCAGCAUUACGGUAACGGUUUGCAUUACUAUUGGCUUGAUAUUGUACUGUUGGUGAUAGCUACCAUCUGGAUUUUGAUCGGUUGUGUUGGUAUAUGUUGAGUUAUUCGUAGGCUGUAUUAUUUUCUUCUGGUGUUUUGGAUAAACAUGAUUUAAUCCUGCUGUUUGAUGCUGUACGUUUAAGGUCAUAAAUCUUGUUUCGAGUAUGUCCUUAAUUUCCAAUUGUCCACUUUAUUGUCAUUCAAAUUGUUGAUGUUGUAAAGUUAAAAAAAAACAUGGUUUUGCUUGUUGAUUAUCUGUUUAAAAUUGUGCCGUCUUUAGAGCCAAUUCGUGUUUUAAUCCAAAAUUCUGGUUGGCUUUCGCAUUGAGUUCGAUUGAUUCAUUGGCAUACAGAGUUUAAGCUGAAUAAGUUUUACUGCGUGAUUCUAAAGGUUUGCUUGCCUGGUAAUGACAGAGUGCAUAGAUAAGUAAUGUCUAGCCAUCAUAUGCAUUUCGUUUCGAAUAGCAAUUUGAUGCGUUAAUUGGAAUCAUGAGUGUUAAUGUAUGGCUUUACAAGUUUUAUUGAAAAACAUGGUUUUUGCAUGUUAAUAUUGCUUAAGUUGUCACAUAUUAUGAUGGGUUUUCAUGUGUGUUCUAGGGCGUUACUGUUGGUUCGAGUCUUUUCUUCUCCCUAAGCUUUAAUUCGGAAUGAAAGUAGCAUUUAAAGCAUCACGAUAAUGACUAUUAGAAUUCUAAUUUUACAAAGUAUACAUUAGUUAGUUACACUGAAUUCCGGAUUAUGGCGUGGCUUUUCUAGUUUCGGUACUCCGUAGGAAAAGGUUGUGGAGUGGGUUUACAGCCCUAUGAUUUUUCUUGCAAUUAGAAUGACAUUCAUAAUUGAUAUUUCUUUUAUUGAAUAUUUAGAGUUGUGUUGUUGUUAUAACUAUUGUAAAUAAUAUCAUUGUUUUUUUUUAUGAAUUUAAAUCCAGUGGAUCCGACUUCUACGUGUCGAUAUACCCUCAAAAGUUUCAACACAUCGAAAGAAUAUUUUUCGCCGAGUUAUGAGUUCGCGAAUAACAUUAAUUGUUGCUAUCUCGCAUAAACCGGUCUGAACACACCGAUUCAAUUCCUAUAAAUCAAAGUUGUCACUAAUUUGUUUUUUUCAUAAAAAAUAUUAUUAGUUGAAUUUUUGUCUGAUUAAUUGCUUUUAAUUAAUUAACCUUAAUUAACUUAAUUAUUUAAGAUAAUUAAAUAGUUUUGAUAAUUAGUUUUAAUUAAUUCGAUUAAUCAACUUACUUAAAAUUUGAUAAUAAUCAAAGGAUUUUCUUUUCCAUCACCAUUUCACAAUCAUUCUUAAUUCAACUUCAUUUCAAUUCAUUAUCCAUUCAAAGCCAAUUUCAAAAAGCACAAAUCACAAUUCUCGAUUUAACAUCGAGUCCAUUUUAAAACACCCUUGUAAGUCGAUUGCUCUUCGCAUCGCCAUCAACCUCACAUAGCUUACUCUUGGGCUUUCUUACAAUGAAGCCUACUUGGUUAUUGACUAAUCGAGUAGAUGAAAUAAUACACUAAAUAAAAAUUCAUUUCAUUUAUAAACACAAAUUCCAAUCACUUUUCCAAACCAUUCAAUUUCAAAAGAAUUUUCUUUUAAACAUAAAUUUGGGAUGAAAAGGAGAUAGGAAGCGUACGCUUCACUAUUUCUCAAGCACUUGAAUAAUUGGCGUACGCCAUAUUGCGCGAGUUCUUGUCACCCGAUUAAAUCUUAAAUCACACAAUUUCAAAUCAUUUCUACAAAUUCCAAAUACUUUUAAUUCCAUAUUUCAGAUGAAAAGGAGAAUAGUGAGCAUCCGCUUCAUUAUCUCUCGAUUAUUCGAAUAAUUGGCGUACGCCACAUUGCUCGAAUCUUCGUCAUCAAUUCAAAACCACAAUCGAAUAAACCCAAACCUACCAAAAUUCAAACCAUUUUCGCACAUCAAAUGCAACAUCCAAACAUAUCUUUUACAAUUUAAACCUCGGAUGAUAAAAGAGAUAGGAGGCGUACGCCUCACCAUCUCUCAAUUAUUUGAAUAAUUGGCGAACGCCAUAUUGCACAAAUUAUCGACGUCCGACUAAAACACGCUAAAUAAACUUGGAUAAGGGAAUAAGAGACCCACCUUCAUCUCCUCCACAAAUCACCGUCAUCACGCUCACCACCACCAAACCCCAAAUCGCUUCACCUUCAAAAACCCUCAACCCUCUUCUCCUUCGUCAUCAACCGCUUCAAACCCUAUCCACCACUCUAACCAUCAAACCCUCACCGUGAAUCGCCAUCACUAACCGUGAAGCUCGCCGCCGCUCAAACCUCCGCUUCUUCACCACCAACAAACCCUCGCGAAUCCACCAUCUCCAACUCACCAUCGAAACCCAUUCACCUCACAACCCCAAAAUCGUCCACGGUUCUCCACCAGGAACAACUCCACGAACAACCACCUCCGUAAAAAACGCGACACACCACCAACACCUCAAAACCCUCGCUCCAUCCGCUACUGCAACUCUUUUACUCCACCGACAAAACGCACACAAC